rnacentral:sRNA from 1 species
GUCGUGAGAUGUUGGGUUAAGUCCCGCAACGAGCGCAACCCCUGUCCUAUGUUGCCAGCAUUUAGUUGGGGACUCAUAGGAGACUGCCGGUGACAAACCGGAGGAAGGUGGGGAUGACGUCAAGUCAUCAUGCCCCUUAUGUCCAGGGCUACACACGUGCUACAUUGGCGCAUACAGAGGGCUGCAAUACCGCGAGGUGGAGCGAAUCCCAAAAAGUGCGUCUCGGUUCGGAUUGGAGGCUGAAACUCGCCUCCAUGAAGGUGGAGUUGCUAGUAAUCGCGGAUCAGCAAUGCCGCGGUGAAUACGUUCCCGGGCCUUGUACACACCGCCCGUCACACCACGAAAGCGGGCAACACCCGAAGCCGGUGGCCCAACCCUUUUGGGAGGGAGCCGUCGAAGGUGGGGCUCGUGAUUGGGGUGAAGUCGUAACAAGGUAGCCGUAGCGGAAGCUGCGGCUGGAUCACCUCCUUUCUAGGGAGCUCGACAGGCCCGCCGCCAGGUGCGGUGGAGCCGAGGAGCGUCGCCGGCCGUUCUUUUUGGCCGGCGAUCCCGACACGUCGACCGGACUUGGCCGUGACGUUCAGUCGCGGCACGCUGCUCAGUUUUGAGGGACCGCGGGUGGAAGACCUCCACCGGGUGACUCAGCGGACCUUGAAAACUGCACAAGAGCCAAAAGGGUAAAGCGGCUCGAGUCCACACGAACGUGGGCCCGAGCUUAGACUCACCGUCAAGAUAUUAAGGGCACAUGGCGGAUGCCUUGGCACCAGGAGUCGAAGAAGGACGUGGACGGCUGCGAUAAGCCGCGGUGAGGCGCUGAACAGCCAUUGACCCGCGGAUCU